CUGAGAGGAAGGUCCCCCACAUUGGAACUGAGACACGGUCCAAACUCCUACGGGAGGCAGCAGUGAGGAAUAUUGGUCAAUGGACGAGAGUCUGAACCAGCCAAGCAGCGUGCAGGAAGACGGCCCUAUGGGUUGUAAACUGCUUUUAUAAGGGAAUAAAGUGAGUCUCGUGAGACUUUCUGCAUGUACCUUAUGAAUAGGGACCGGCUAAUUCCGUGCCAGCAGCCGCGGUAAUACGGAAGGUCCGGGCGUUAUCCGGAUUUGUUGGGUUUAAAGGGAGCGUAGGCCGGAGAUUAAGCGUGUUGUGAAAUGUAGACGCUCAACGUCUGCACUGCAGCGCGAACUGGUUUCCUUGAGUACGCACAAAGUGGGCGGAAUUCGUGGUGUAGCGGUGAAAUGCUUAGAUAUCACGAAGAACUCCGAUUGCGAAGGCAGCUCACUGGAGCGCAACUGACGCUGAAGCUCGAAAGUGCGGGUAUCGAACAGGAUUAGAUACCCUGGUAGUCCGCACGGUAAACGAUGGAUGCCCGCUGUUGGUCUGAAUAGGUCAGCGGCCAAGCGAAAGCAUUAAGCAUCCCACCUGGGGAGUACGCCGGCAACGGUGCAACUCAAAUGAAUUGACGG
rnacentral:rRNA from 1 species